GGUGGCUCAGUGGUAGAGUGCUUGCCUUGCAUGCAUGAAGCCCUAGGUUCAAUUCCUCAGCACCA
rfam:Dipodomys ordii contig_95821, whole genome shotgun sequence.